CCCUUAGAUGUUCUGGGCUGCACGCGUGCUACAAUGGCGUUUCCAGCAAGUCUGCGAACCCGAGAGGGCCAGCGGAUCUUCGAAUUGGCGUCGUGAUCGGGACAGUCGAUUGCAAUUAUUUGACUCAAACGAGGAAUUCCUUGUAAUCGCGAUUCAUCAUAUCGCGCUGAAUACGUCCCUGCCCUUUGUACACACCGCCCGUCGCUCCUACCGAUUGAGCGAUCCGGUAAAUGUUUUGGAUUGGUGCCGGGGUGGCUAGCUGCCGGUCGCUACGAAAUUUUGUGAACCUUAUCGCUUAGAGGAAGGAAAAGUCGUAACA
rnacentral:rRNA from 1 species